rnacentral:rRNA from 1 species
UACGUAGGGUGCAAGCGUUGUCCGGAAUUAUUGGGCGUAAAGAGCUCGUAGGCGGUCUGUCGCGUCGGCUGUGAAAACCCGGGGCUCAACCCCGGGCCUGCAGUCGAUACGGGCAGACUAGAGUGCGGUAGGGGAGACUGGAAUUCCGGGUGUAGCGGUGGAAUGCGUAGAGAUCCGGAAGAACACCGGUGGCGAAGGCGGCCCGCUGGGCAGGAAGGCUCGCAAGAGCCGGCUGACGCUGAGGCGCGACAGCGUGGGGAGCAAACAGG